CCCCUCCUCCCUCAAACCAAGGGUACAGAUCCCCAGCCCCUCCUCCCUCAGACCCAGGAGUCCAGGCCCCCAACCCCUCCUUCCCCAGACCCAGAGGUCCAGGUCCCAGCCCCUCCUCCCUCAGACCCAGCGGUCCAAUGCCACCUAGACUCUCCCUGUACACAGUGCCCCCUUGUGGCACGUUGACCCAACCUUACCAGUUGGUUUUUCAUUUUUUGUCCCUUUCCCCUAGAUCCAGAAAUAAAGUCUAAGAGAAGCG
rnacentral:lncRNA from 1 species